CCUACGGGAGGCUGCAGUGGGGAAUUUUGCGCAAUGCUCGUAAGAGUGACGCAGCGACGCCGCGUGAAUGACGAAGGCCUUCGGGUUGUAAAGUUCUGUCGCAGGGGACGAAAAUGACGGUACCCUGCAAGAAAGCUCCGGCUAACUACGUGCCAGCAGCCGCGGUAAUACGUAGGGAGCAAGCGUUGUCCGGAAUUACUGGGUGUAAAGGGAGCGUAGGCGGGAGGAUAAGUUGAAUGUGAAAUCUAUGGGCUCAACCCAUAGCUGCGUUCAAAACUGUUCUUCUUGAGUGAAGUAGAGGCAGGCGGAAUUCCUAGUGUAGCGGUGAAAUGCGUAGAUAUUAGGAGGAACACCAGUGGCGAAGGCGGCCUGCUGGGCUUUUACUGACGCUGAGGCUCGAAAGCGUGGGUAGCAAACAGGAUUAGAUACCCUUGUAGUC
rnacentral:rRNA from 1 species